rnacentral:rRNA from 1 species
AAUCAACGCUGGCGGCGUGCCUCAGACAUGCAAGUCGAACGCGAAAGUUCCCUUCGGGGAGCAAGUAGAGUGGCGCACGGGUGAGUAACACGUAGGUAAUUUGCCUUCGGGUGGGGAUAACAGUCGGAACGACUGCUAAUACCGCAUAAUGCAGCGGCUCGACAUCGAGACAGUUGUUAAAGCGGGGGAGUCCUUCGGGACCUCGCGCCUGAAGAGAAGCCUGCGGCAGAUUAGCUAGUUGGUGAGGUAAUGGCCCACCAAGGCUACGAUCUGUAACCGGCCUGAGAGGGCGGUCGGUCACACUGACACUGACAUAC